GACGAACCGUGCGAACGUUGUUCGGAUUCACUGGGCUUAAAGGGCGCGUAGGCGGAAGGUCAAGUCCGAGGUGAAAUCUUUCGGCUCAACCGGAAAAGUGCCUUGGAUACGGAUCUACUCGAGGGAGGUAGGGGCAUGUGGAACUUCCGGUGGAGCGGUGAAAUGCGUAGAUAUCAGGAGGAACACCUGUGGUGUAGACAGCUUACUGGACCAUUUCUGACGCUGAGACACGAAAGCGUGGGUAGCAAACAGG
rnacentral:rRNA from 1 species